AUACCUUUCUCGGCCUUUUGGCUAAGAUCAAGUGUAGUAUCUGUUCUUAUCAGUUUAAUAUCUGAUAUGUGGGCCAUUGGUCCACACGAUAUUAACUCUAUUUUUUGAGGGGGAAGACUCAUCAAGGUAGCUUGCUGCCUGGGCCUUCAAGCGUCGCCCAAGUGUUGCACUAUGCUUUGGCCUGGCGCACCCCAC
rnacentral:snRNA from 1 species